GACGAACGCUGGCGGCGUGCUUAACACAUGCAAGUCGAACGGAAAGGCCCUGCUUUUGUGGGGUGCUCGAGUGGCGAACGGGUGAGUAACACGUGAGUAACCUGCCCUUGACUUUGGGAUAACUUCAGGAAACUGGGGCUAAUACCGGAUAGGAGCUCCUGCUGCAUGGUGGGGGUUGGAAAGUUUCGGCGGUUGGGGAUGGACUCGCGGCUUAUCAGCUUGUUGGUGGGGUAGUGGCUUACCCAGGCUUUGACGGGUAGCCGGCCUGAGAGGGUGACCGGCGACAAUGGGACUGAGAGACGGAGCAGACGCGUACGGGAGGCAGCAGUCGGGAGUAUUGCACAAUGGGCGGGAGCCUGAUGCGGAAACGCCGGGUGCGGGAUGACGGCCUUCGGGUUGUAAACCGCUUUCGCCUGUGACGAAGCGUGAGUGACGGUAAUGGGUAAAGAAGCACCGGCUAACUACGUG
rnacentral:rRNA from 1 species